UUCUCUUUUCCAUUGGCAUCCAGAUGGGCCACAUAUUUGUCCUCUUCUGAUGGAAAGGAACGGCGGAUUAUACAGUAUCGUCUGGCAUUGGAUCGACUGACUCAUCGAGAUAUUGUGUGGGAGCCUUAUGGUUUGCUGGACGUACUGGCAGUCAUCCAUCCGGAGAUACUGACCGAGGAGCACAGCCGGUUAUGGCAGGCUGUCACCAGCCUGAUCUACUUUGCAGUUAUUGAGUGGCAUCAGGUAGACAGGGUCUUCCCA